rnacentral:rRNA from 1 species
UACGUAGGGGGCUAGCGUUGUCCGGAUUUAUUGGGCGUAAAGAGCUCGUAGGCGGCUUGUCGCGUCGACUGUGAAAUCCCGCGGCUCAACUGCGGGUCUGCAGUCGAUACGGGCAGGCUAGAGUUCGGUAGGGGAGACUGGAAUUCCUGGUGUAGCGGUGAAAUGCGCAGAUAUCAGGAGGAACACCGAUGGCGAAGGCAGGUCUCUGGGCCACUACUGACGCUGAGAAGCGAAAGCGUGGGGAGCGAACAGG